CACCGCGGUUAUACGAGGGGCUCAAGUUGACAGACAACGGCGUAAAGAGUGGUUAAGGUGACCCCCCCCCCCCAACUAAAGUUGAACGUCCUCAGGGCUGUGAUACGUGCCCGAAGAUAAGAAACCCCAUCACGAAAGUAACUUUAUUACCCCUGACCCCACGAAAGCUGUGGCA
rnacentral:rRNA from 1 species